rnacentral:rRNA from 1 species
AGGUAGUCAAGAUGAGAAUUCUAAGGUGAGCGAGCGAACUCUCGUUAAGGAACUCGGCAAAAUGACCCCGUAACUUCGGGAGAAGGGGUGCUCUUUAGGGUUAACGCCCAGAAGAGCCGCAGUGAAUAGGCCCAAGCGACUGUUUAUCAAAAACACAGGUCUCUGCUAAACCGUAAGGUGAUGUAUAGGGGCUGACGCCUGCCCGGUGCUGGAAGGUUAAGAGGAGUGGUUAGCUUCUGCGAAGCUACGAAUCGAAGCCCCAGUAAACGGCGGCCGUAACUAUAACGGUCCUAAGGUAGCGAAAUUCCUUGUCGGGUAAGUUCCGACCCGCACGAAAGGCGUAACGAUUUGGGCACUGUCUCAACGAGAGACUCGGUGAAAUCAUAGUACCUGUGAAGAUGCAGGUUACCCGCGACAGGACGGAAAGACCCCGUGGAGCUUUACUGUAGCCUGAUAUUGAAAUUCGGCACAGCUUGUACAGGAUAGGUAGGAGCCUUUGAAACGUGAGCGCUAGCUUACGUGGAGGCGCUGGUGGGAUACUACCCUAGCUGUGUUGGCUUUCUAACCCGCACCACUUAUCGUGG